GACGAACGCUGGCGGCGUGCUUAACACAUGCAAGUCGAGCGGUAAGGCCCUUUCGGGGGUACACGAGCGGCGAACGGGUGAGUAACACGUGGGUGACCUGCCCUCAGCUCUGGGAUAAGCCUGGGAAACCGGGUCUAAUACUGGAUAUGACUCCAUGACGCAUGUUGUGGGGUGGAAAGCCUUGUGCGGCUGAGGAUGGGCCCGCGGCCUAUCAGCUUGUUGGUGGGGUGANGGCCUACCAAGGCGACGACGGGUAGCCGGCCUGAGAGGGCGACCGGCCACACUGGGACUGAGACACGGCCCAGACUCCUACGGGAGGCAGCAGUGGGGAAUUUUGGACAAUGGGGGCAACCCUGAUCCAGCCAUGCCGCGUGCGGGAAGAAGG
rnacentral:rRNA from 1 species